AUUGAACGCUGGCGGCAUGCCUUACACAUGCAAGUCGAACGGCAGCACGGGUGCUUGCACCUGGUGGCGAGUGGCGAACGGGUGAGUAAUACAUCGGAACAUGUCCUGUAGUGGGGGAUAGCCCGGCGAAAGCCGGAUUAAUACCGCAUACGAUCUACGGAUGAAAGCGGGGGACCUUCGGGCCUCGCGCUAUAGGGUUGGCCGAUGGCUGAUUAGCUAGUUGGUGGGGUAAAGGCCUACCAAGGCGACGAUCAGUAGCUGGUCCGAGAGGACGACCAGCCACACUGGGACUGAGACACGGCCCAGACUCCUACGGGAGGCAGCAGUGGGGAAUUUUGGACAAUGGGCGAAAGCCUGAUCCAGCAAUGCCGCGUGUGUGAAGAAGGCCUUCGGGUUGUAAAGCACUUUUGUCCGGAAAGAAAUCCUUGGCCCUAAUACGGUCGGGGGAUGACGGUACCGGAAGAAUAAGCACCGGCUAACUACGUG
rnacentral:rRNA from 1 species